GUGGGGAAUCUUGCGCAAUGGGCGAAAGCCUGACGCAGCAACGCCGCGUGGGGGAUGAAGGCUCUCGGGUUGUAAACCCCUUUCAGCAGGGACGAAUCAAGACGGUACCUGCAGAAGAAGCCCCGGCUAACUACGUGCCAGCAGCCGCGGUAACACGUAGGGGGCAAGCGUUGUCCGGAUUUAUUGGGCGUAAAGAGCUCGUAGGUGGCUGAGUAAGUCGGAUGUCAAAUCCCCAGGCUCAACCUGGGAUCCCAUCCGAUACUGCUCUGGCUAGAGUACGGUAGGGGAGCGUGGAAUUCCUGGUGUAGCGGGGAAAUGCGCAGAUAUCAGGAGGAACACCAGCGGCGAAGGCGGCGCUCUGGGACGGUACUGACACUGAGGAGCGAAAGCGUGGGUAGCAAACAGGAUUAGAAACCCUUGUAGUCC
rnacentral:rRNA from 1 species